rnacentral:misc_RNA from 1 species
GAUGAAGAACGUAGCGAAAUGCGUUAAGUAAUGUGAAUUGCAGAAUUCAGUGAAUCAUCGAAUCUUUGAACGCACAUUGCGCCCGCCAGUAUUCUGGCGGGCAUGCCUGUUCGAGCGUCAUUUCAACCAUCAAGCCCCCGGCUUGUGUUGGGGACCUGCGGCUGCCGCAGGCCCUGAAAAGCAGUGGCGGGCUCGCUGUCACACCGAGCGUAGUAGCAUACAUCUCGCUCUGGGCGUGCUGCGGGUUCCGGCCGUUAAACCACCUUCAUAACCCAAGGUUGACCUCGGAUCAGGUAGGAAGACCCGCUGAACUUAAGCAUAUCAAUAAGCGGAGGA